rnacentral:rRNA from 1 species
GACGAACGCUGGCGGCGUGCCUAAUACAUGCAAGUUGAGCGAUGAAGCUUGGUGCUUGCACCAAUUUGAAGAGCAGCGAACGGGUGGGUAACGCGUGGGGAAUCUGCCUUUGAGCGGGGGACAACAUUUGGAAACGAAUGCUAAUACCGCAUAAUAACUUUAAACAUAAGUUUUAAGUUUGAAAGAUGCAAUUGCAUCACUCAAAGAUGAUCCCGCGUUGUAUUAGCUAGUUGGUGAGGUAAAGGCUCACCAAGGCGAUGAUACAUAGCCGACCUGAGAGGGUGAUCGGCCACAUUGGGACUGAGACACGGCCCAAACUCCUACGGGAGGCAGCAGUAGGGAAUCUUCGGCAAUGGACGAAAGUCUGACCGAGCAACGCCGCGUGAGUGAAGAAGGUUUUCGGAUCGUAAAACUCUGUUGGUAGAGAAGAACGUUGGUGAGAGUGGAAAGCUCAUCAAGUGACGGUAACUACCCAGAAAGGGACGGCUAACUACGUG